rnacentral:rRNA from 1 species
UACAUGGGGUGCAAACGUUGCUCGGAAUUAUUGGGCGUAAAGCGCACGUAGGCGGUUCGUUAAGUCGGAUGUGAAAGCCCUCGGCUCAACUGAGGAAGUGCACCCGAAACUGGCGAGCUUGAGUACGAAAGAGGAUCGCGGAAUUCCCGGUGUAGAGGUGAAAUGCGUAGAGAUGUGGAGGAACACCAGUGGCGAAGGCGGCUUUCUGGUCUGUAACUGACGCUGAGGCGCGAAAGCGUGGGGAGCAAACAGG